rnacentral:rRNA from 1 species
GACGAACGCUGGCGGCGUGCUUAACACAUGCAAGUCGAACGAUGAAGCUAGAGCUUGCUCUGGUGAAUUAGUGGCGAACGGGUGAGUAACACGUGAGUAACCUGCCCCGAACUCUGGGAUAACUGCUGGAAACGGUAGCUAAUACUGGAUACGACCUACGAAGGCAUCUUCUGUAGGUGGAAAGAAUUUCGGUUCGGGAUGGACUCGCGGCCCAUCAGCUUGUUGGUGAGGUAAUGGCUCACCAAGGCGACGACGGGUAGCCGGCCUGAGAGGGUGACCGGCCACACUGGGACUGAGACACGGCCCAGACUCCUACGGGAGGCAGCAGUGGGGACUAUUGCACAAUGGGCGCAAGCCUGAUGCAGCACCGCCGCGUGAGGGGUGACGGCCUUCGGGUUGUAAACCUCUUUUAGUAGGGAAGAAGCGAAAGUGACGGUACCUGCAGAAAAAGCACCGGCUAACUACGUGCCAGCCGCCGCUGUAA